CCAUGACCUUUUCCUUAAUUUAAGGAGCCGUGUUCAUUUCACGGAGAUCUUCCAUGGGCCCAUCACGGAAUUUGUUGGCGAUUCCGUGAAACUGCCACCGAUUUUAAAUUAAGGAGCCAUCACAGAGUAUGGAAGU